UUUCCGUAGGUGAACCUGCGGAAGGAUCAUUAAUGUAACCGGACCGUUCAUUUGCCGUAAAACGCACUGGAUUGGAAAGGGAGAUAUCAUACACCCUAUGUUUAUUUACUUUUGUUGCUUUUGUGGGCCGUCCUUUACGGCGUCGGCCUCGGCUGAUCGCGCCCGCCAGAGGACCCAAACUCUUUUAUUAGUGAUGUCUGAGUACUAUAUAAUAGUUAAAACUUUCAACAACGGAUCUCUUGGUUCUG
rnacentral:misc_RNA from 1 species